rnacentral:rRNA from 1 species
UACGGAGGGGGUUAGCGUUGUUCGGAAUGACUGGGCGUAAAGCGCGCGUAGGCGGAUCAGGAAGUUGGGGGUGAAAUCCCGGGGCUCAACCCCGGAAUGGCCUUCAAAACUCCUGGUCUUGAGUUCGAGAGAGGUGAGUGGAAUUCCGAGUGUAGAGGUGAAAUUCGUAGAUAUUCGGAGGAACACCAGUGGCGAAGGCGGCUCACUGGCUCGACACUGACGCUGAGGAGCGAAAGCCAGGGGAGCAAACGGGA